GACGAACGCUGGCGGCGUGCUUAACACAUGCAAGUCGAACGGAAAGGCCCUGCUUUUGUGGGGUGCUCGAGUGGCGAACGGGUGAGUAACACGUGAGUAACCUGCCCUUGACUUUGGGAUAACUUCAGGAAACUGGGGCUAAUACCGGAUAGGAGCUCCUGCUGCAUGGUGGGGGUUGGAAAGUUUCGGCGGUUGGGGAUGGACUCGCGGCUUAUCAGCUUGUUGGUGGGGUAGUGGCUUACCAAGGCUUUGACGGGUAGCCGGCCUGAGAGGGUGACCGGCCACAUUGGGACUGGGGUACGGCCCAGACUCCUACGGGAGGCAGCAGUGGGGAAUAUUGCACAAUGGGCGGAAGCCUGAUGCAGCAACGCCGCGUGCGGGAUGACGGCCUUCGGGUUGGAAACCGCUUUCGCCUGUGACGAAGCGUGGGUGACGGUAAUGGGUAAAGAAGCACCGGCUAACUACGUG
rnacentral:rRNA from 1 species